rnacentral:lncRNA from 1 species
ACUUCUAUAGCUGCUGUAUUUGGCACAGUCGGAUUUACACCUGUACAAUUGUACCAUAAUCAUGUUGUAAAGAUUCACUGGAUGCAUGUACGGUUGAACCGAUUUUGCAGUAAAAGAAAGCAAAAGCAAUAAAUUUGACGCUGUUCUAGUUCUAUUUUUGUUAGAUGAACACUGUUUUUUUCAAGAGUAACAAAUUGCGUAUCAUAUUUUUAUAGAAGGCAGAAAGAAAUUAACAGGAAAUGUCGCAAGCCCAACAAGUAGAGCUACCAGCUAGCAUCCGCAUACCCACCCCCAAAUACAUGCUACUUGCAUAAAGAUUUGAAAACACGUAGCUCUGGCCGAUCUCCAAGUUUGUAUCUCAUCUAGAAUGAGGUUAACAAAUUGGGGGAUAGUCUGUUGUUGCGCCAUAUUUCUGAACACCCGCGCAUUAGAAUGACUAGCGAAUCAAAAGCUCUUUCUGCUUGUCUUCGGCACCUCCUUGCUCGAUCUUAGCCACCACUCCUCCAGGAUGUCUAGAAUGACUAGCGAAUCAAAGCUCUUUCUGCUUGUCUUCGGCACCUCCUUGCUCGAUCUUAGCCACCACUCCUCCAGCAUGUCUGUCUAGCGUAAACACACUGCAUAAAGAUGUGGUCAAGAGUGUCCUCUUCCUGGCAGCAAGUGAAGCACGGGCAGUGGCGUCUUGUAAUCCAUGUCGAAGCCGUCUAUCAGAGGUCCAGACACGAUAAUGGAGAACAAGCCAUAUGAAUAUUUUGCAUUUGAACGGUGCCCAACUUUUUCAUAUGCAAUGAGCGGGUGAACCAUGCCAUGGCACAACAUCUUGUAGGUAGAUUGAGCCGAGUACUGAGCGGAGGCACUCCAUCUCCAGGUGAAAAUGUCGGGGGUGCUAAUAUUAAGAGAGAUGAUGCUGACGACCGACCAUAGGUUUGAGAACCGUUGUGGUGCUAGACCUGCACCUUACGUCUGUGAUCUAGCUUAGGUUGUUGAGGGCAUCAUGGACUGUUCUUUCAUUGACGCAUCUCGUAGUCACCUUCUCUAAGACAAGGGGUGCUAUUUCUGCAACUGUCGUACCAUUGAUCCAGCGGUCUCUCCAGAAUAGGAGGAAUUUACCAUCUCCUAACUGGAUGUGCACAAGGCUAUCAAAAAUGCCCUUGGCCACAUCAUCACACAACGGCAGUAGGCCUUGCCAGGGUCUGCUGGGGUCCGUCCUACGCAACCAUUCCCAUCUGACGCGCAGUGCCAAUGCUUGAAGCUUUAAGUUUUUUUACUCCUAGUCCUUCAAACUCCGUCCGACGACAAACCGUGUUCCAAGCCACGAGGCAUUGGCCUCCAUGGACUUUAUCAGAUCCACCCCAGAAGAAAGCCCUCGUCCAUUUGUCAAUUUCCUUGAAGACCCAAAUAGGGGGUCUAGCACCAAUAGUGGUGGAUAGGUCUCGCAGCGAUGACGCUCUUAACUAGCACAGGGCGACCUAGCCUCGUAAUCAAUCUGCGUUGCCAUGCCGGGAUAAACUCCUUAACUGCGUCUAGGAUUGGCUGCCACUGAGCCUUGGUGAGCUGAGAAAUACUGAGCUGCAAUCCCAAAUAUUUGCAUGGAAAAUGCGCAAUGCGGCACCUGGAUCUCCUCAAUCUGGCCCGUGUCUGCAGUGUCUGAUCUGAUUGGGUGGUCCAUGAUUUAGCAUAAUUGACUCUCAGACCCGACGCUUCACCAAAUAUCUCCAGAGCACUACCGACAAAGUUCAGAUCUUGGCGAGACGGACGCAUAAUGAGGAUUACAUCGUCUGCAAAGAUAGAAACUUGUUGUAGCGGAGUGGCGCCCGGAAGAAGGGAUAUCACCCCCAAAGUUGUUGCUCUGAGUGACGAAAAAGGGUUUCCCCCCGCUUUAUAUUAUAAAGCACCAACCACAGAGCAAAGUAACGGUAGCAAGGUUCCGCCAGCCAGACCUGACAACAGCCAUACAAGUAGAGGGAACAUAGGUCUUGCUGGGGGAGCAACACAACAAUCCCCUAAAACGAGAAGGAAAAGCUAAUCCGGCUCCGGCGGUGGUGGAGGAAGCGGUUGCUGGAGUGGUUGCGCGAGUCUGGAGGCGGUGGAGCGGAGGUGGGUGAUCAUCCUGUCGAUGAAGAGGCGGUCUUGGCGCUUGCUAAGCGGCCUCCAGAGCUGUAAAAAGCCACACAGUUUGUAUACGGCGUUAGUGUCACACUGAGGAAUGCUGUGCUCAAUCACCAAUUUAUUACGGACAUUCCAUAAUGUCCACAACUGUGAUCCGACCAACACCAAGAGGGAGGGACGCGCAAAGCUAGGGAAGGUAAGAACUUCCGCAAACAUAUCCGGGAGGUUAGUAUGGCACCAACUGCCACCUACGAUCUCGCGCAUGCAACUCCAUAAGAAUCUUGCGAAGGGGCAAGAAAAGAAGAUGUGGUUCGAGUCUUCAGGGACCGAGCACAGAGGGCAUAGGCCAUCGGAGGGGCCAUUCCGCUUAAGCACCUUCGUGCCAGAUGGAAGGUGCCCUCUUACUAGUUGCCAUAGGAAGAUUCUAAUCUUCAGAGGCAGUUUAAUCUCCCAUAGGAAGAUUCCAAAGUUGUUGCUCUAAGAAUGAUGGAUGUCAAGGAUUCCGUAGCAAUGACGAAGAGAAGGGGAGAUAGAGGGCCCCUUUGUCUGAGUCCACGUGCAUGCAUAAUCUUUAUGCCAGGGAUGCCAUUCAAAAUCAUUCUCGAACUAGCCAACUAGAGGAGGAUGGAGAUCCAUGGCAACCAUUUGGCACUGAAUCCUGUCUGCGGCAACUCCUCAUAGAGGAAAGCCCAUGAAAGGCAGUCGAAGGCCCGUGAUAUAUCAAGCUUGAGCAUCACUCCCUUGCACUUCCUUGAAUGCAAGCGCCUAGCCACCUGGCGGACCAAAAUGAAGUUGUCGUGUAGGCAUCACUUGAUAAUGAAUGUUGACUGAUUUGCGGAGAUGAACGUGCCCAUAUGUCGUCACGCACGGUUCGCUAAGAUUUUUGCCACCAAUUUUGGGAAGCUAUUUAUCAAGCUUAUAGGUCUAUAGUCACCAAUGACAUUCGCAUCCGGCUUCAUAGGAAUAAGCGUGAUGAGCCCUUUAUUAAGCGAUGCGAAUCCUCUGCCAUCACCAUCUAAAAUUUUAGGAGGGCUGCCAUGAUAUCAUUUUUUAUUAUGCUCCAAGUCUUGUGAUAGAAUAUCCCCAUAAAUCCACCUGGCGAGGGGCACGAUGUGGUGGCAUCUCCUUUAUGACUUCCCAGACCUCAUCGUCGGUAAAUAUGCCGUCAAGAUCACAGAGGUCGGUCCGUUGCAUGCCUAGCUCCACAAGAUCAAGGGAGUGCAUUGUUGUAUCAUAUUGUUUCAAUGAUGUAUAUAUAUGUUGGAUUGUAUAAAAAACAGUAUAAUUGUUGUAUAAAUCUAGGGCUCAUGCAGCCCAAGAUGGUCUGAAAGGCAUCGUCGAAGGACGUUCCCACUUACAGUGAUCGCGGGGAUGAAAUUUCCGCACGACUUCCAUUGGCGGCAGCGUUAAACAACUUUGGUGUUGGCCUCUCCCGCUUACAGCCAUCGCACUCUAGAUCUUUGCCUUGCAAUAGUACGCUCCGGGGAUGACAAGCCCGACACCGUGAGUUUGAGGGUACGUCGCUCCAGGGAUGAACACUGUUUCUAAUUCUGAUACUGCCGAUCCACCUGCACGGUCUCUCUAAUCUCCCGUGAUGAGAGGAUACUGGCAGCAAUGUGCCGUACCAACCUUCCCUAAUCUCUCGUGCCAAGUUAGCAAAAGCGCCAGCUCACCGCCGCUGGUUUUGCAACGACCAGCCGGGCCAGGCGGGCGGGCCCAGCCGAGCCCCCGGCGCGCGAGGCCACCACAUGACACACCACACGCGAGCAGCAAAAACAGCCAGCCAGCCAGCCACCCCCGCCCGCCUCCCUUUCCGUCCGUCCCCAACCGUCCCCCUCUCUCGCUCGCAUCACAACAAACGCGCUCUCUCCUCGCCCAGCUUCCGGAACUCGCCCCCCGUCCCCGUCGCCACCGGCAUGGCCUCCGCCGUCUCCCUCGCCGCCUCCUCCUCGCCCCUCGCCGCCACCUCGCCCUCGCGCGCGCCGCGCCCCCACCAGGCGCUCCCGCCCGCCCGCGGCCCGCGGUCCCAGGCCCAGGCCCUCCGCGCGGUCUCCGGCCCCGCCGGGAGCCGCCGGUGGGGCGUCGGCCGCGGCGCGACGGUCGUCUGCGCCGUCCAGGGCCAGGACACCACCAUCCAAGGUAUAUAACGCGCCAGCUCGCCUGAUCGGCAUGUUGAUCCGUCUUCUGUUACAUGGGAUUUGGUGGUGGCGAGAUACUGAUCCGAUUAAUGCGUCUGCGUGGAUCUGCUGCGUGUUUUCCGAUGCGUCUAGGCACGAGAUGAGGCUUUGCUUUCAGGAUUAGGAUUUGCUUCGGGGAAUCGGCCAAUCGUGCCUUGGGUCGCUUCCACGUGGGUCCCCCAACGUCUCAGUUGUUAGGAGCAUAGCAGCGAUGUGGACGCGAGGCUGUGGAUUUUACCCCGUUUGUAGCAACUCGACGUUCGACGUCUCUGCUGCGGUGCCAGCGUAUGCGUACAUGUCUUCAUGGAUGCAUCUGCUGUCUUGAUUUGUAGAGCUUGCGCCUGAGUUUGCUGGGAAGCUCGCUGUACAGUGUGCAUGGGCAAGCUUGGGCUGCUCUUACAACUAUUACUGUUGUCACACAUAUGAUUUUAUGACGGGCACUUGUAUCUAAAUAUGGAAUUGCGCAACUGUUUAAUGCGAGUUAUUGUAGAUACUAGACUGUUUAAUGGUUAUUCAACUUAUUGAUACCUGUGUGUUUGGUUGAUGGAGAUUUGUUAUUACUGUGCCUGAAACACCACUACAUUUAAGGUAACGAGGCUGGCGCUGGACCAUGUCAGUGUCCCUGAGAGGACUGAAUGUAUUUCACAUUACUCCCUUCAGCGUAAUUGUGUUUUCUUGCCCAGUGACACAUAAAUGAGCAAAUAUCGGGUCUUCGUACAGAAAUCUUUUUUGGAAAUAUCGUAAGUGAAUUAGAGAAGGGCCUCUGAUUUAUGCAAUGGUGCAUUGGGUGAUUGAAUUUCAUUUUCAGUUCCUUUUUAUGUUAAAAUUCUUGCAGUCAAAAACACUUGGCUUCAGUGACUAGCACUACAUCCAUGAUAUUCUUACAUGUAUUUAGAGAAGUAAUGGAACAACAAGUUCUAUACAACUAUAGAGCUGCCCCCAUGAUAUGGACAUAUUAAGAUGAAUCUGGCUGCGGUGUCGAAAGCUUAAGCUGUUGGUGUAUUCAAGGAAUUAUCAUUGCGUUAUGGAUAUAGACAUCUCGUGGUUGUACACUCGUAGUUCUGUGAUGGUGCAGUAAGAGUUUGUGGAAGUUCAAAAAAAUUGAUAUCUUACACAAAGCAACGUAAAUACACUCUUUUCUGAACAAAAAAAAAACAAUUACUGUUUGUGCUACAUUAAUGUAAAUGCUAUGUUCAAAAAAAUAGUGUGCUACAAGAUUUAGCGCUGCCCUUCUCCAAAUGCUAUACAAGUUAUAGCGUGCUAUAUUUAAAAAUAGCGGCAUAAAAAUGUCAAAUAUAACACAAAAUUUAAGGCCUUCCAUAAUUUGCAAUGAAAGGGGACACUCCAAAUUAAACAAAGAAGCAUACGAGAGCUAGGUUCAGGGCAUGUACACUCCUAAUUUGUAAGGAAAGAGUGUUACACUCCUAAUUAAACAGAGAAACAUCGGUGGCUGACUUGCCGGCGCCGGUGGCGUGGUUGACUUCGGCGCUGUCUUGCUGGAGUUGGAGGCGUAGCCGACGCCGCUACUUGGAGGGGGGUGGAGGGAAGCUGCUGCCGCUCACGAUCUGCCACCGCCGCCUUUGCUCAUGAGUCACGAAUGCCCCCAUCGUCGCUGCACUCGGUCACGAGCUGGUAGGAAAUUGGUGAUGAGUUGGCUAGGUUUGGUUCGUUGCGUUUGCAUCUAAGAGAGAGUGAGUGUGAGUUGGGCCAAUGCGAUGCGGCGAUGCCUGAUAGGCUGCUGUGUGGUACAUACUAAAACGCUAUAACGUUAUUUCGUCUAGCGUCAAAAUAGCGUGCUAUAGCACAAAUAGCGCCAUAGCGAGCAAAUUAGCUAAAACGUAACAUGGCCCUCCCAGAUAUGCUAUAGCGACGCUAUAACGUCGAAAUAGCGUGCUAUUUUUUCAUCUUCCUUCUGAAAGAAAUAUACCCGUCUAUGUUAAUAACGACAAGUUAUUGGGCCUAAAUCAAUAUCUGACAUGGAAAUGCCAUGCGCCUUCUGCUGCUGAAGAUAUUCCUGUAAAAGUGGUUUUAUCGAUCUUCUGUUAACAGAUUUCUCAAUCUGGUUGGGAUUUCGCUGAUCUACUUUUGGGGUCGACCUGACGCUUUACAGUGAUUAGAACUUUUAUGGGUGUUUAUGCAGAUAUCGUGCUGUUUUUUGACUUUAAUUUGUGUUUGAAUCCUCUAACUUUUCAAACUCGACCAAUUUGAGCUGGGAUAGGAUCAUUGAACAGAGAGGCAACAGCAUGAAAACAGUGCCUGUAGUGUUGCUUGUUAAUAGCUGGAGUUAGCUUUCUGUUUAUCUCUUUGUUUCAUCAUUCAAUGUUCAUCAGCAUGAAACAAUAAAGAUUUGGAGUAUGAUUGGUUUGAUGCCAAAAAUUGGCUUGCCAACAUUUGGCAAAUGCCAAAUAUUGGCUAGUGCUUGGUCGGUUACCAACUUUACUUGCCAACCUCACAAGAAGUUGCCACUUUUUGGCAACUUUUGCCAAUUGUUGGCUUGCCAAGUAUUGACAAUGCCAAAUGUUGGCAUCAAACCAAUUAGCCUCUUGGUUUGCCAAUUACUCUAUAUUUUCUACAAGCUAUUUGAUCUGGACAUUGUAUUUGGGGAUCAUAGAACUUGUGAAGUUAGUUGAUUUAGUUUUUUUCUCUCGCUGUACUUCAGCAGUUUCAUUCAUUGAUGUGUUCUCAAUUGUUCAUUGCGAUACUGUCCAUUUGUUUUGUAGUUCCCGAUGUCACGAAGACAACAUGGCAAUCACUUGUUAUAGAGAGCGAGGUUCCUGUUCUUGUUGAAUUCUGGGCUUCAUGGUGUGGACCUUGCAAAAUGAUUGAUCCAGUUAUUGGUAAGCUGUCAAAGGAGUAUGAAGGGAAGCUGAAAUGCUACAAGCUCAACACCGAUGAGAAUCCAGACAUAGCAAGCCAGUAUGGCGUCCGGAGCAUCCCAACCAUGAUGAUCUUCAAGAACGGCGAGAAAAAAGACGCGGUGAUAGGAGCAGUGCCUGAAAGCACGCUGAUCACAUGCAUCGAGAAGUUUACCGAGAGGUAAAAUGCUGAACGGGCCUCCUCGACGGUUACUCGGCAUUCCACAUCCAUUGUUCAGUCAGAUCAUCGAAAACUCGACGUCAUCUGUGCAAUCUUUCUAUACGUGCGUUCAGUUGUGUAGAUAGUAUUGGAAACUUGCUCUCUGUACCAUCAAUAAAUAGAAUCACAGAAGUGUUAAUGAUAAAAAUCCCAAGGAAGCCUGGUUUCAUUUUGCCAUUCUUUUGGGCUGUAGAUAUGUAUGACGGGACUGUUAAGAGUCAUAUUCUGUAUUAUCAUAUCACAUAUUCCGUCAGUUGAUGUGAUCGUUUCCCUUAUAAACUGAUGAAUCUGU